rnacentral:rRNA from 1 species
UACGUAGGAGGCGAGCGUUGUCCGGAAUUACUGGGCGUAAAGGGCUCGUAGGCGGCCAACUAAGUCAGACGUGAAAUCCCUCGGCUUAACCGGGGAACUGCCUCUGAUACUGGAUGGCUUGAGAUUGGGAGAGGGAUGCGGAAUUCCAGGUGUAGCGGUGAAAUGCGUAGAUAUCUGGAGGAACACCGGUGGCGAAGGCGGCCACCUGGACGGUAACUGACGCUGAGACGCGAAAGCGUGGGGAGCAAACAGG